CCUACGGGUGGCAGCAGUGGGGAAUAUUGCACAAUGGGGGAAACCCUGAUGCAGCGACGUCGCGUGAGUGAUGAAGUAUUUCGGUAUGUAAAGCUCUAUCAGCAGAGAAGAAAAUGACGGUACCUGACUAAGAAGCUCCGGCGAACUACGUGCAAGCAGCCGCGGUACUACGUAGGGAGCAAGCGUAAUCCGGAUGUACUGGGUGUAAGGGGAGCGUAGACGGCGGUGCAAGCCAGAUGUGGAAGCCCGGGGCUCAACCCCGGGAGUGCGUUUGGAACGGGGAUGCUAGAGUGUCGGUGAGGCAGGCGGAAUUCGUGGUGUAGCGGUGAAAGGCGUAGAUAUUAGGAGGAACACCAGUGGCGAAGGCGGCCUGCUGGACGAUGACUGACGUUGAGGCUCGAAAGCGUGGGGAGCAAACAGGAUUAGAUACCCUAGUAGUC
rnacentral:rRNA from 1 species